GAGGGGCUGUAGAGUCACUAAUCCAGUUCUCAUUUAUAUCUUCCUUAUUCCAGUGCUGACAAACCCACAGUCACGCCUCGCGUUAGGAGCGUAUAACUGAGUUAGAGAUGAAACAGGUGUGUCCCUGCGGGGAAGAGUCCGCUACACUCGUCCUCAGGGUUGGAGUGUUUAUGAUGUGUUCAGUCUGCUGUGUUGCUGAAUCUGCGCGCUCUGCGUUUCCUGCAGCUCUAAACUCUAAACGUGUUAAAGAGAGUGUUCCACUCUGCACUCCCGAGUGUGUCCUGAAUCAGCCCGAAAUAGAAGUGUAUCUGCACCCCCCGCAGUGAGCCCAACACACACUCCAGCCUGGCAGAGCCUGACAGCACAAACACUGCUACGAUUACAGAGCUGAGGACAAUAAAGCACUCAACACGUACAGCACAGGGCACACAGUCUCUGUACAAAAAGCGCGAACAGCUUCUCCCCCAGCACCAAUGUGCAUGCAGCUUUCACACUGGAGAUUCAUCUUUUUCUCGAGCAAAUAUAUUACUUUUGUAUUGCUUAUAUCUGUUAACAUGCUUUAACAUGCAUGUUGGGGCCCUAUGCUUAGUGCAUGAUCCACAUGGGUGAAGCACCAGCACUGCAUGUUUAU